rnacentral:rRNA from 1 species
AUGAUCUAUUCAGCUCCGGAUUGGCCCACCCUUGAUGAAGCAGUAUCUAGUGUUCUUGAAGAGGAGACUCGGCUAUCAAACCAAGUCGUGACCCCACAUGCAAGUGUUGAUACUCGUGCUGCUCUCUCUUCACAGGCUCAUACUACAUCUUCUGUUGCUUCUAACAGUGAUCAAGCAAAUACUACUAAGUUUGAGUACAGGAGAAAGCCAAAGGUAGUAUGUGAUCACUGCAAGCAAACUGGCCACAUAAAGAAGAAUUGUUUUGAUCUGAUUGGAUAUCCACUUGGGUGGCAACAACGACAUGGACGACUGAAGUUUGGUGAUGCCCGAGGGAAGAAGCAAGAUCGUGUGCAUCUCACUUCAUCCACAAGUUAA